rnacentral:rRNA from 1 species
AUAAUGGGUCAGCGACUUAUAUUCUGUAGCAAGGUUAACCGAAUAGGGGAGCCGAAGGGAAACCGAGUCUUAACUGGGCGUUAAGUUGCAGGGUAUAGACCCGAAACCCGGUGAUCUAGCCAUGGGCAGGUUGAAGGUUGGGUAACACUAACUGGAGGACCGAACCGACUAAUGUUGAAAAAUUAGCGGAUGACUUGUGGCUGGGGGUGAAAGGCCAAUCAAACCGGGAGAUAGCUGGUUCUCCCCGAAAGCUAUUUAGGUAGCGCCUCGUGAAUUCAUCUCCGGGGGUAGAGCACUGUUUCGGCAAGGGGGUCAUCCCGACUUACCAACCCGAUGCAAACUGCGAAUACCGGAGAAUGUUAUCACGGGAGACACACGGCGGGUGCUAACGUCCGUCGUGAAGAGGGAAACAACCCAGACCGCCAGCUAAGGUCCCAAAGUCAUGGUUAAGUGGGAAACGAUGUGGGAAGGCCCAGACAGCCAGGAUGUUGGCUUAGAAGCAGCCAUCAUUUAAAGAAAGCGUAAUAGCUCACUGGUCGAGUCGGCCUGCGCGGAAGAUGUAACGGGGCUAAACCAUGCACCGAAGCUGCGGCAGCGACGCUGAUGCGUUGUUGGGUAGGGGAGCGUUCUGUAAGCCUGCGAAGGUGUGCUGUGAGGCAUGCUGGAGGUAUCAGAAGUGCGAAUGCUGACAUAAGUAACGAUAAAGCGGGUGAAAAGCCCGCUCGCCGGAAGACCAAGGGUUCCUGUCCAACGUUAAUCGGGGCAGGGUGAGUCGACCCCUAAGGCGAGGCCGAAAGGCGUAGUCGAUGGGAAACAGGUUAAUAUUCCUGUACUUGGUGUUACUGCGAAGGGGGGACGGAGAAGGCUAUGUUGGCCGGGCGACGGUUGUCCCGGUUUAAGCGUGUAGGCUGGUUUUCCAGGCAAA